UACGUAGGGAGCAAGCGUUGUCCGGAAUCAUUGGGCGUAAAGCGCGCGUAGGUGGCCCCAUAAGUCCGCUGUGAAAGUCAAAGGCUCAACCUUUGAAAGCCGGUGGAUACUGUGGGACUAGAGUACGGAAGAGGCGAGUGGAAUUCCUGGUGUAGCGGUGGAAUGCGCAGAUAUCAGGAGGAACACCAAUAGCGAAGGCAGCUCGCUGGGACGUUACUGACACUGAGGCGCGAAAGCGUGGGGAUCAAACAGG
rnacentral:rRNA from 1 species